rnacentral:rRNA from 2 species
CAUCAUGAUUUACAUUUGAGUGAGUGGCGAACUGGUGAGUAACACGUGGGAAACCUGCCCAGAAGCGGGGGAUAACACCUGGAAACAGAUGCUAAUACCGCAUAACAACUUGGACCGCAUGGUCCGAGUUUGAAAGAUGGCUUCGGCUAUCACUUUUGGAUGGUCCCGCGGCGUAUUAGCUAGAUGGUGGGGUAACGGCUCACCAUGGCAAUGAUACGUAGCCGACCUGAGAGGGUAAUCGGCCACAUUGGGACUGAGACACGGCCCAAACUCCUACGGGAGGCAGCAGUAGGGAAUCUUCCACAAUGGACGAAAGUCUGAUGGAGCAACGCCGCGUGAGUGAAGAAGGGUUUCGGCUCGUAAAACUCUGUUGUUAAAGAAGAACAUAUCUGAGAGUAACUGUUCAGGUAUUGACGGUAUUUAACCAGAAAGCCACGGCUAACUACGUGCCAGCAGCCGCGGUAAUACGUAGGUGGCAAGCGUUGUCCGGAUUUAUUGGGCGUAAAGCGAGCGCAGGCGGUUUUUUAAGUCUGAUGUGAAAGCCUUCGGCUCAACCGAAGAAGUGCAUCGGAAACUGGGAAACUUGAGUGCAGAAGAGGACAGUGGAACUCCAUGUGUAGCGGUGAAAUGCGUAGAUAUAUGGAAGAACACCAGUGGCGAAGGCGGCUGUCUGGUCUGUAACUGACGCUGAGGCUCGAAAGUAUGGGUAGCAAACAGGAUUAGAUACCCUGGUAGUCCAUACCGUAAACGAUGAAUGCUAAGUGUUGGAGGGUUUCCGCCCUUCAGUGCUGCAGCUAACGCAUUAAGCAUUCCGCCUGGGGAGUACGGCCGCAAGGCUGAAACUCAAAGGAAUUGACGGGGGCCCGCACAAGCGGUGGAGCAUGUGGUUUAAUUCGAAGCUACGCGAAGAACCUUACCAGGUCUUGACAUACUAUGCAAAUCUAAGAGAUUAGACGUUCCCUUCGGGGACAUGGAUACAGGUGGUGCAUGGUUGUCGUCAGCUCGUGUCGUGAGAUGUUGGGUUAAGUCCCGCAACGAGCGCAACCCUUAUUAUCAGUUGCCAGCAUUAAGUUGGGCACUCUGGUGAGACUGCCGGUGACAAACCGGAGGAAGGUGGGGAUGACGUCAAAUCAUCAUGCCCCUUAUGACCUGGGCUACACACGUGCUACAAUGGAUGGUACAACGAGUUGCGAACUCGCGAGAGUAAGCUAAUCUCUUAAAGCCAUUCUCAGUUCGGAUUGUAGGCUGCAACUCGCCUACAUGAAGUCGGAAUCGCUAGUAAUCGCGGAUCAGCAUGCCGCGGUGAAUACGUUCCCGGGCCUUGUACACACCGCCCGUCACACCAUGAGAGUUUGUAACACCCA